AGCAGCAUGUAAGUACCAUAACAUUGCAACAUACCGAUAACAGCUAUAAAAAAUUUAUAUAUAUACACAGACAUACACACACACAUACAGUCCCUGACAAAAGUCUUGUCGCUUGUGUACAAAUUGACCUCAAGUGCCACUGAAAUAUAUUUCUAAUCAAGAUUUUUUUACAAGAAAUGGCUCAUUUUAUUCCCAACAGCUUUUGUAGUAAUGUUUCAGUGCAAAACGAAACUGUCAAAAAGUAUUCUAAUAUUGAAAGCUUGGUAAAGCCCAUUGAAUCAAUUUUUUCAAAGACAUAAGUGUUGUCGCCUUGUCAUAUGAGCUUCACCUGUGACUAAUAAUGGAUCAAUUAGGUCUCAGGUGUGUAUAAAAAGAACCCCACUACACUAGACCUUCACAUCAACUGCAACUAGACCUCUGCAAACAUGCCUAAGAUUCACCCUGAGACUAAAGUGUUGAUCAUCAAGAGGCUGAAGACCGGAUCCACUGCUGAUGUGGCAGACACCUUCAAUGUGUCUCAGCGUCAAGUACAGAGGAUAAAAAAAAAGAUUUGAAGAGACUGGAGACAUUUUUGACAAACCCAGGUCAGGCAGACCCCGCAAGACAACUGCUCGAGAGGACCGUUUCUUGGUUCGAAAAUCCAAGGCCAGCCCAUUUUCCACUGCAGCAGAGCUCCACGAGACCUGGUCACCUGAAGUCCCUGUGUCAACCAGAACAGUUUGUCGGAUUCUGUCUCGAAAUGGCCUCCAUGGUCGAAUCAGUGCCCAGAAGCCAGCACUAAACAAAAGACAAUUGAAAAACCGUGUGGCAUUUGCCAAGGCCCACAGCCUGCUAAAAGGAUGGACGCUGGAAAAGUGGCAGUAGGUGGAUUUUUCAGAUGAAUCUUCUGUUGAACUACACCACAGUCGCCACAAAUAUUGCAGGAGACCUACUGGAGCCCACAUGGAUCCGAGAUUCACCCAGAAAAGAGUGAAGUUUGGUGGUGGAAAAAUCAUGGUCUGGGGUUACAUCCAGUAUGGGGGUGUGCGAGAGAUCUGCAGGGUGGAAGGCAACAUCAAUAGUCUGACAUUCCAAGAAAUCUUAGCUACCUUUUAUAUUCCCAACGAUAAAAGAGGCCAAAUUCUGCAGCAGGAUGGUGCUCCAUCACAUACUUCCAUCUCCACAUCAAAGUUUCUCAAGGCGAAGAAGAUCAAGAUGCUCCAGUAUUGGCCAGCCCAGUCACCAGACAUGAACAUCAUUGAGCAUGUGUGGGGUAGGAUGAAAGAGGAAGCAUGGAAGAUGAAACCUAAGAAUAUUGAUGAACUCUGGGAGGCAUGCAAGACUGCUUUCUUUGCUAUUCCUGAUGACUUCAUCAAUAAAUUGUAUGAAUCCUUGCCAAACUGCAUGGAUGCAGUCCUUCAAGCUCAUGGAAGUCAUACAAGAUAUUAAAUUUGGAUCUCACAGCACCACUACUGAAUUUGCUGACAUAUUUUUGUAUUUGCAGUACAUUUGGUCAAUUUCUGUAUAGGCGACAAAACUUUUGUCUUGCCAAAAUUUGACCUUUCUGUCUUGAUUAAAUGAUAAAUCUUUUUUCAGUGAAACUACUUCAUUUCAAUGCAUUAAACAUCAUUUGGUAGGGUUUUAGCUUUUCAUAUGAGCUAUUUGUAACAUCAAUUGAUUAAUUAAAAGUCAGGUUAAUAGCAGGUGUUUCUACAAAAUAGAUAAGCGACAAGACUUUUGUCAGGGACUGUAUAUAUAUAUAUAUAUAUAUAUAUAUAUAAUGUGUAUGUGAUGAAUUUUAUACAAUUAUGACUAUGGUGCUUGUUGUUCUCAUGUAAUGUUUGUCACUAUGGUUUUUCUCGAUUGCUUUGGCACAUUUCAUGUCACAUAAUUAACAUUCUCAAAAAUAUAGCAACAUUUCUCAAAACAGUUCAUACAUAUAUCACAACAUUAUGGUUUAUAGCUACAAAAGCCUGUAACCUAUCCAAAACUAUUAACUCAAAUCAAAGAGCUUUGAUGUACUGUCAAAAUGUGUGUAUGCUUCCCAGCAGGGGUGUAAGAGGGGGCAGGUGCCACCCCCUACUGUAUGUCUUGUCCGCCCCAACUGCCCCCCCUUUUCAGUUGCUAAAACUGUUGUCAUAGAAACGUGAUCGGCACUACAUCCAUAAGCUGCUCAAAUCACUGAAACAAACAGGACAUGGAGAGAGAUCUACUGUAGCUGUAAAUUCAAUCUUAGGUCCCGCAAAAACUUUGCUAUGGCACUGCGCUAAAACACGCAAGACACAGAGAGCUGACAGCGUGAGCCUGCCUGCAUGCAGGGUCAGAGGAGAGGAGCCACUGAACUGCACAGCAUCCGAGCUUCGCCGUUUUAAGUUCAGUCAGAUACAUGAAUAUAAGUCAAAUUAGUAAUGACUGUAAUGUUUGCUAUAUUACAGUUUUUCUCCAUUGGUUUGACUCAUUUCUUGAAACAGAAAUGACAUUCUCAAAAUAACAUGGACAAAUCUCCAAACCACCUUGCAAUUGUUCACAACAGAAUGGCAUUUCUCAUUGAUUUCAUCAAAUUGCAAAUGUCUUAGUACAUGUCUCAAGUGUCUCAGUGCAUCUUUACAAACGGUUAUGUACAAGUAGCCUACAGUUCGCACAAUGAGCUCACAUUUAGCACAUUUUCCAAAUAAAUAGAUCUUGCUGAUCUAAACUGAUUAGUUGAUUCUCAGUCUAAUGGUUAUUCUCUCCAAAACAUGUCAGUAUGAUUUCAUUGUGUAAGUCGUCAUAUGCACAAUAGUCUGUUCAAUUGUCAAAAUUAGUCAAGAACAUAAUACCAUGAAGACCAUAAUUGAAUUCCUUGGAACGUUUGAUAAAUUCAUGACAGUAUUUGACAGUCAGGUGAAAUUAGAACUUGACUAAUGAAGGAGGAGUUUCCCACAUCUCAGAUGACCAACCAAACAGUUUGUUUAGUUACCUGACAGGUGCUGUCUAUGGUUGUGAAUGCUGGCAAACAUGUAUGUAUAGAAGGUGUGCAUGUGUGAGUGAAUGGUGUGUGAGUGUGCCCUGUGAUGGGCUGGCCCCCCAUCCAGGGUUGUUCCCUGCCUCGUGCCCAUUGCUUCCGAGAUAUGCUCCGAACCCCCCACAACCCAGUAGGAUAUGCGGUUUGGAAGAUGGAUGGAUGUAUGUACAGAGCUUGGCCAGGGCUAGUACCAUUUGCAGUAUGAACAUGGAGGUACCUCGGCAAGUAAAUGAACAAGGGCAACUUCCUGCUCGAGGAAGAGGAAGAGGAGGAGGAAGAAGAGGAGGAGGAGUGAGGAUGCGUGGUGGUGGAAUGGGGGAAGAGGCCGAGGAGCACGAAGACACCAUGAUGUCCUCGAUUAAAUUCGGGCCACAGUUAUAGACCAUGUUGUCAACCAUGGCCUCACAAUGGCAGAGGCAGGUCGCCGAAUGCAGCCUAAUGUGCCUCAUUCUACAAUCUCCCCCAUCAUCCAUACAUUUCGCAAGGAAAACAGGAUUGGAUGACAACCUCACAUGGGUGGCAGAGGAAAACUUCUCAAUGAAUGACAAGAACAAGAGAUCUGUAACAUGGUGAUUGCAAAUAAUGCUACCACACUGAGACAGAUCCGUGAUGCAAUCCUUAAAAACAAUGACAAAUUCCAAAAUGUCAACUAUCAGUAUCUCCACAAUAGACCGGGUACUGAAGAAGCAUCAGAUGACCAUGAAGCAGAUUUACAGGGUACAAUUUGAGAGGAACACUGACAGAGUGAAAGAGCUGCAGUACCAGUAUUUCUUCAGUAUUUCUCCUUCCUCUUUGUGUCAAAUAUUCCCUGCAGUACAUCUGCAUAGGCCUGUACCCCAGGUUUGGAACCACUGGAGUAGUGGCCAUUAGUAGGCUAUAUUGAACUUGUGGAGGAGAACAUAAAACAAUCCUAUGUAAUUCCUAUUACUGUUGUGUAUGACUCCUCUAUAUGACUGAUUAGAUUUUUUACUCUAUUAUAGAGAAUAAUGGCACUAGAAGGGAAUGAAACACCUCACAUCCUGGUGUUGGCUGGUUUCAACCUGGCCAAAGGCCGCAGAAGUGGCCGUAACAUCAUUGGUCAGUGGGCCACGGUGGAUGUCCCAGGCCAACAAGGCAGCAAUUUAACAAUAUGUGUUGCCAUAUCUGAGAAUGGUGCGGCCACACACAUCCCCAGUUUAGGCCCAUACAACACUCAAAAGCUCCUCAUUUUCUUGGACCGUCUUUAUACUGAUCUGGUCCCAGAAAAUGAGACAGGUCUCGAAGGGUCUCACCUACCACACUAUGUGAUCGUGUGGGACAAUGUGAAUUUCCACCGUGGCCCGCUCAUCAGGGCCUGGUUCACUACCCACGGACGCUCAUGGAGCUACUACCACCAUACUCUCCUUUCCUCAAUCCGAUUGAGUUUUUUUUCGCUUGGAGGUGGAGAGUGUAUGAACAUCGGGCUGAAGACCAGAGGUCCCUGCUCCAUGCAAUGGAUGCUGCAUGUGAGGACAUCACAGGGGAUCAGUGUAGGGGAUGAUUGAGACAUUCGCACCGUUUCUUUCCUCAUUGCAUCACAAGGGAAAAUAUCCGUUGUGAUGUGUACGAAAAUCUAUGGGCAAACAGAGCAGAACGAUGAGGAUGGUGGCCAGGAGAGGGAGGGUGACGACAGCGACCAGUGAAAGUCUUACUGUAGUUGUGAAACUUUAUUUACAGCACUGUAGGCUAAAUAUAAUUUUUGUUUUUAGUUUGUGUUUAUAUUUUGUACAUAUACAGAAUAAUGUAUACAUUUUCUUUUUAUGUACACUGAUGUAUGGAAGUUACUUUAUGUGUGUAAAUAAAAAUGGUUACAAUUUCCUUGGCA